UAUACUUAUUAUACCUUAGAUAAGGGGUUACUAUACUUUAUACAAUUUUGAGGUACUGCUUUAAUGCUACACUUCUACUCCAUUACAUUUCAGAGGGAAAUGUUGUGCCUUUUUGCUGCACUACAUUCAUUUGACACUUAGUUACUAGUUACAUUGAGAAAAACAUACGGUAUGAUGCAGUACUAUGUUACUAAUCUACCCAGUAGAAUACAAAGUAUCUAAAAUUGGCUCUACAUUGACAAACCAAAAAGAAACAUUGAAG